AUUAUUUCAGAAUCAUCUUCAGAGAUACGAAAAACUAGUUUUUCGUAUCUCUGAGGAUGAUUCUGAAAUAGAAU
rnacentral:miRNA from 1 species